rnacentral:rRNA from 1 species
GACGAACGCUGGCGGCGUGCUUAACACAUGCAAGUCGAACGGAAAGGCCCUGCUUGCUGGGUACUCGAGUGGCGAACGGGUGAGUAACACGUGGGUGAUCUGCCCCGCACUUCGGGAUAAGCCUGGGAAACUGGGUCUAAUACCGGAUAGGAGACUUUUUUAGUGUCGUGGUUGGAAAGUUUUUUCGGUGUGGGAUGAGCUCGCGGCCUAUCAGCUUGUUGGUGGGGUAAUGGCCUACCAAGGCGGCGACGGGUAGCCGGCCUGAGAGGGUGGACGGCCACCUUGGGACUGGGGUUCGGCCCCGACCCCUACGGGGGGCAGCCGGGGGGAAGUUUGCACAAUGGGCGGCAGCCUGAUUCAGCGACGCCGCGUGGGGGAUUACGGGCUUCGGGUUGGAAACUCUUUUCGCUAGGGACGGAGCCUUUUGUGACGGUACCUAGAUAAGAAGCACCGGCUAACUACGUG